AUCCGCCGGUGGAUUUUUAGCCCUGGUGGGUAGCUUCCCGGAAACGAAAGUCUUCCGGUUCCGGGGGAAGUAUGGUUGCAAAGCUGAAACUUAAAGGAAUUGACGGAAGGGCACCACCAGGAGUGGAGCCUGCGGCUUAAUUUGACUCAACACGGGGAAACUCACCCGGCCCGGACACCGUAAGGAUUGACAGAUUGAUAGCUCUUUCAUGAUUCGGUGGUUGGUGGUGCAUGGCCGUUCUUAGUUCGUGGAUCGAUUUGUCUGGUUUAUUCCGAUAACGAGCGAGACUCUAGCCUACUAAAUAGUAACGAGAUUAUCAAUGUCUCAGUUGCUUCUUAGAGGGAUUUUCGGUGUUUAGCCGCACGAGAUUGAGCAAUAACAGGUCUGUGAUGCCCUUAGAUGUCCGGGGCUGCACGCGCGCUACACUGGCGAAAUCAGCGUGCUGUAUCCAUUCUCGAAAGGGAUUGGUAAACCCAUGAAAAUUUGCCGUGCUUGGGAUCGGAAAUUGCAAUUAUUUUCCGUGAACGAGGAAUUCCAAGUAAGUGCGAGUCAUCAACUCGCUCUGAUUACGUC
rnacentral:rRNA from 2 species